UACAGAGGUCCCAAGCGUUGUUCGGAUUCAUUGGGCGUAAAGGGUGCGUAGGCGGCGCGGGAAGUCGGGUGUGAAAUCUCGGAGCUUAACUCCGAAACUGCAUUCGAUACUGCGGUGCUUGAGGACUGGAGAGGAGACUGGAAUUCAUGGUGUAGCAGUGAAAUGCGUAGAGAUCAUGAGGAAGACCAGUGGCGAAGGCGGGUCUCUGGACAGUUCCUGACACUGAGACACGAAGGCCAGGGGAGCAAACGGG
rnacentral:rRNA from 1 species